GCGUAUCCAAGGAGGGGUCACCGGGUUCACAUGAACCCAUGCUCCCCUCCCGAGAUCAUAUAUAGUAGUGUUAUAUUUUUGAAAAAUAUUGAAAUAUAGAUGUGUGAACCCAUAUUCGGAGUAUCAUAUAAUGCGAUGAUGACUGGGUGCACCUCUCUACGUGAGGUUAGAAAUUUGAAUUUUAUAUUCAUCUUGUUUUAUUUUUCUUUGUAAAAUUAGAUAACACCUCUCUAAAUGGUUAUUGGUAACACUUUUGACAUUUUAAUUAGUUUUGGACCUAUAAUAUUAAUUUUAACGGUUUUCAGUAAUAAGAACCUAAAUGUCCAACCGAUCAAAUUUAUAUUUUAGAUCAAUCUUUUUGUAAUAAUGCACCCAUCAUCCCGAAAUCCUGGAUACGCCUCU
rnacentral:lncRNA from 1 species